rnacentral:rRNA from 1 species
ACGGGUGAGUAAUAAAUGGGUAAUUUGCCUCUUUGUUCGGGAUAGCCAUCGGAAACGAUGAUUAAUACCGAAUGUGUUCAGGAACUUCAUGGUUCCUUCUAUAAAGGCGGGGAAGCUUCGGCUCCUGUCGCAAAGAGAUAGGCCCAUUUCCUAUCAGCUUGUUGGUGAGGUAAUGGCUCACCAAGGCUUACGGGUAGCUGGUCUGAGAGGAUGGUCAGCCACACUGGGACUGAGACACUGCCCAGACUCCUACGGGAGGCUGCAGUCGAGAAUCAUUGUCAAUGCACGAAAGUGUGAACAUGCGACGCCGCGUGGAGGAAGACGGCCUUUGGGUUGUAAACUCCUGUCAGCAGGGAGUAAAAAUAGAUCACUUAAUACGUGUUUUAUUUGAAAGCCCCUGCACAGUAAGUCACGGCUGAGUCUGUGACAUCAACCUGGCUAGUACUGAGGUGGGAAACGUUGUUCAGAUUUACUGGG